UAGAGUUUGAUCAUGGCUCAGGACGAACGCUGGCGGCGUGCCUAACACAUGCAAGUCGAGCGAAGUGACUCGGAGAGAAGUUUUCGAAUGGAUCGAAGAGUCAUCUUAGCGGCGGACGGGUGAGUAACGCGUGAGAAACCUGCCUUUCACAAAGGGAUAGCCUCGGGAAACUGGGAUUAAUACCUUAUGAAACUGAAUUACCGCAUGGUAGAUCAGUCAAAGCGAAUAAGCGGCGAAAGAUGGUCUCGCGUCCUAUUAGCUAGUUGGUGAGGUAACGGCUCACCAAGGCUUCGAUAGGUAGCCGGCCUGAGAGGGUGAACGGCCACACUGGAACUGAGACACGGUCCAGACUCCUACGGGAGGCAGCAGUGGGGAAUAUUGCACAAUGGAGGAAACUCUGAUGCAGCGACGCCGCGUGAAUGAUGAAGGCCUUCGGGUUGUAAAGUUCUGUCCUUGGGGAAGAUAAUGACGGUACCCAAGGAGGAAGCCCCGGCUAACUACGUGCCAGCCGCCGCGGUAAUACA
rnacentral:rRNA from 1 species